GACGAACCGUGCGAACGUUGUUCGGAAUCACUGGGCUUAAAGGGCGCGUAGGUGGUUUGUCGCGUUGUUCGUGAAAACUCACAGCUCAACUGUGGGCGUGCGGGCGAUACGGGCAGACUUGAGUACUGCAGGGGAGACUGGAAUUCCUGGUGUAGCGGUGAAAUGCGCAGAUAUCAGGAAGAACACCCGUGGCGAAAGCGGCUCUCUGGAACGGUACUGACGCUGAGACGCGAAAGCGUGGGGAGCGAACAGG
rnacentral:rRNA from 1 species